AUGUCGAACAAAAGGAUCAGCCUUCUCUCGCAGAUCCAUGAGAAAGUGCUCUUCUGGAAUGCUAAGGUUCUCGUGUCUCGCAUCUGGCACUUCCGAGGUGGGACUGAUGAGGGUAACAUUGUGCACACUGACUUAGUGGUGCUUGACCAAGAGGGCACCCACAUGUAUGGCCAGAUUCCUCCUGAGCCAUCGGAGCGGCUGAAAGAUGUCUUGGUGGAAGGCAAUGUUUAUCUGAUGAAGGGAUUCAUGUGUAAACAAGCAAAGCAGACUUACAGGGCUGUUGAUAGCCCAUACAUGAUGCAAUUCACUCGCUUUAGUACUGCUAUUCCCCAGCCGGGUGAUGAAGAAAACUUCCCGUACCGCACUUACGACCUCCUGUCCUUCACGGAUAUCCCAAUGCCAGGCCCAAACACUCGUCGCUUUCUCGAUGUCAUUGGUCGAAUUACUGCAGUGACAGACAUAGUUAUUGUCCACUCUCAAUACCAGCCUGAACCUUCAGAAACCAGGACUAUAGUUCUCGAAGAUCAAGCAGGGAAUGAGAUCAAGCUUGUUCUUUGGGGUGCUCGAGCUCGUGAGUUUGAGGCAGAAGAGGUCCGUAUUGCAAGCCAAUCAGGAGCUGUCAUUACUAUCUUUGUGGGGACACUGCCAAAAACCUACCGAGGAAUUAAAGGACUAAGUGGUAGCUCUGCAUGCCGCUGGUACAUUAAUGAGGACUUGCCAGAGAUGAAUGCCUUUCGUGCUAGCCUUCCAGAAAGUCUUGCUGCUGUCACUGCUCACAUACCAGGAGAACAGGCAAUUGUUCCAGCACCUGUUCGUGAGCCUCUUGUCGAACUGAGUGUUCAACAGCUGCUUGCUCUUGACCCGUUUAAUAAUCUGAAAAAGCAAUUUAUGGUCAAGGUUAUUAUUACACGCAUGGGCUCUGACAACCGUUGGUGGUUUCUCUCAUGCCGGGAAUGCCAUAAAACAGCCUAUACGGCUGGAAGGCAGUACCGUUGCUCGGACCACGGCUGCUCUUCUGUUGCAGCAGAUCCCUCAUACUGUCUGUGCACUUUCGGAAGCGACGGCGCAGCUGAGGCAGAAUUUAUGUUCUUUGAUAGAGCUGCAAAGAGUGCUGUUGUGAAGCCACUCAUGACUUUGAUUUACCGCAAGUAUCCUGGUUUCACAAGUGCGCUUGAUCUGCCUUAUAUAGGAGGUGCUGAUGUAGGCUUGCCUGUUGAAAUUUCACGCCUUGUUACCAAGAAGUAUAGACUUGUCGUUUCUAUCUCCACCAAAAGCUUUCAGCCUGCAAGCACCCAGCUGUCCUUCCAAGUUGGCAGGGUUGAUGAAACCUUUAAGCCUGAACUAGCAUCCUUUGGAUUUGGCGGUGCGUCAUCUUCUGCUGGGAGCUCAGGCAUAGCGGUGCCCAUUCCGACGUCUUUCGCUACAGGAUCAUCUACACUUGUUGACCUACCUCCCGAUGAGAUGAACACUCCCAUAUCUGCAUUCAGAGGAAAAGGACAGGCUUCUAUGCCUAAAACACCCAGCAAAUCACCAUGCCAAAAAAGCGCUCGCCGCAAACUUGUUCUUGAGCUCUCUAAGUCUAGGGACGAAGAGCUAUCUGGCUCUGCUCCCGAGUUGGCUACCCAGACGGGAGACGUUGUUCCUCCUGGAAAUGUUGUUCAGCCUACAUCCAUGCCAAAUGUUAGCCAGGAGAAUGAAGCUGCAGCUACUGAAAAUUCAGACAGCCUCCUUCCUGACCCCUCUAAAACCAAGAGGGCAAACACUCCUGCAAAGGGAGCUGGCACUCCAAAGAAAGCGAGGCAGUAG
rnacentral:rRNA from 1 species